GCUGUAGCUCAGUGGUAGAUUACCUGCCUUGGAUGCAGAAGGUUCCAGGUUCAAUCCCCAACAUUUCCUGGUAGAGCU